GUAUAGCACUUGUACUGUGAAACUGCGAAUGGCUCAUUAAAUCAGUUAUCGUUUAUUUGAUCGUACCUUACUACAUGGAUACCUGUGGUAAUUCUAGAGCUAAUACAUGCUGAAAACCCCGACUUCAGGGAGGGGUGUAUUUAUUAGAUAAAAAACCAACGCCCUUCGGGGCUCCUUGGUGAAUCAUAAUAACUUAACGAAUCGCAUGGCCUUGCGCCGGCGAUGGUUCAUUCAAAUUUCUGCCCUAUCAACUUUCGAUGGUAGGAUAGUGGCCUACCAUGGUGGCAACGGGUAACGGGGAAUUAGGGUUCGAUUCCGGAGAGGGAGCCUGAGAAACGGCUACCACAUCCAAGGAAGGCAGCAGGCGCGCAAAUUACCCAAUCCCGAUACGGGGAGGUAGUGACAAUAAAUACUGAUACGGGGCUCUUUUGGGUCUCGUAAUUGGAAUGAGAACAAUUUAAAUCCCUUAACGAGGAACAAUUGGAGGGCAAGUCUGGUGCCAGCAGCCGCGGUAAUUCCAGCUCCAAUAGCGUAUAUUAAAGUUGUUGCAGUUAAAAAGCUCGUAGUUGAACCUUGGGUCUGGCUGGCCGGUCCGCCUCACCGCGAGUACUGGUCCGGCUGGACCUUUCCUUCUGGGGAACCCUAUGGCCUUCACUGGCUGUAGGGGGAACCAGGACUUUUACUGUGAAAAAAUUAGAGUGUUCAAAGCAGGCCUUUGCUCGAAUACAUUAGCAUGGAAUAAUAGAAUAGGACGUGCGGUUCUAUUUUGUUGGUUUCUAGGACCGCCGUAAUGAUUAAUAGGGAUAGUCGGGGGCGUCAGUAUUCAGCUGUCAGAGGUGAAAUUCUUGGAUUUGCUGAAGACUAACUACUGCGAAAGCAUUCGCCAAGGAUGUUUUCAUUAAUCAGGGAACGAAAGUUAGGGGAUCGAAGACGAUCAGAUACCGUCGUAGUCUUAACCAUAAACUAUGCCGACUAGGGAUCGGACGGGAUUCUAUGAUGACCCGUUCGGCACCUUACGAGAAAUCAAAGUUUUUGGGUUCUGGGUUGA
rnacentral:rRNA from 1 species